GAUGAACGCUGGCGGCGUGCCUAAUACAUGCAAGUCGAACGAGUGGCGAACGGGUGAGUAACACGUGGGAAACCUACCCUUCAGCGGGGGAUAACCAUCGGUAACGAUGACUAAUACCGCAUACUGAAGGAUGGUUCCACGGUGCAUUAGCUAGUGGGGGGGGUAACGGCCUACCGGGGCUUUGAUGCAUAGCCGACCUGAGAGGGUGAUCGGCCACAUUGGGACUGAGACACGGCCCAAACUCCUACGGGAGGCAGCAGUAGGGAAUCUUCCGCAAUGGACGCAAGCCUGAUGCAGCCAGGCCGCGUGUAUGAAGAAGGCCUUAGGGUUGUAAAGUACUUUCAGCGGGGAGGCGUUACCCGCAGAAGAAGCACCGGCUAACUCCGUGCCAGCCGCCGCGGUAAUUC
rnacentral:rRNA from 1 species